rnacentral:tRNA from 1 species
GGGCGCUUAGCUCAGUGGAAGAGCGUCUCCCUUACAAGGAGAAGGUCGGGGGUUCGAGCCCCUCAGCGCCCA